rnacentral:rRNA from 1 species
CCUACGGGGGGCAGCAGUAGGGAAUCUUCGGCAAUGGACGGAAGUCUGACCGAGCAACGCCGCGUGAGUGAAGAAGGUUUUCGGAUCGUAAAGCUCUGUUGUAAGAGAAGAACGAGUGUGAGAGUGGAAAGUUCACACUGUGACGGUAUCUUACCAGAAAGGGACGGCUAACUACGUGCCAGCAGCCGCGGUAAUACGUAGGUCCCGAGCGUUGUCCGGAUUUAUUGGGCGUAAAGCGAGUGCAGGCGGUUAGAUAAGUCUGAAGUUAAAGGCUGUGGCUUAACCAUAGUACGCUUUGGAAACUGUUUAACUUGAGUGCAAGAGGGGAGAGUGGAAUUCCAUGUGUAGCGGUGAAAUGCGUAGAUAUAUGGAGGAACACCGGUGGCGAAAGCGGCUCUCUGGCUUGUAACUGACGCUGAGGCUCGAAAGCGUGGGGAGCAAACAGGAUUAGAUACCCGAGUAGUC